rnacentral:rRNA from 1 species
GGCUUAACACAUGCAAGUCGAGCGCCCCGCAAGGGGAGCGGCAGACGGGUGAGUAACGCGUGGGAACGUGCCCUUUGGUUCGGAACAACUCCGGGAAACUGGAGCUAAUACCGGAUAAGCCCUUCGGGGGAAAGAUUUAUCGCCAAAGGAUCGGCCCGCGUCUGAUUAGCUAGUUGGUGAGGUAAUGGCUCACCAAGGCGACGAUCAGUAGCUGGUCUGAGAGGAUGAUCAGCCACACUGGGACUGAGACACGGCCCAGACCCCUACGGGAGGCAGCAGUGGGGAAUAUUGGACAAUGGGCGCAAGCCUGAUCCAGCCAUGCCGCGUGUAGUGAUGAAGGCCUUAGGGUUGUAAAGCUC